rnacentral:misc_RNA from 1 species
GAUGAAGAACGUAGCAAAAUGCGAUACUUGGUGUGAAUUGCAGAAUCCCGUGAACCAUCGAGUCUUUGAACGCAAGUUGCGCCCGAAGCCAUUAGGCCGAGGGCACGCCUGCCUGGGCGUCACACGUCGUUGCCCCCCCAUCUACUCCUUCGGGAUUGCGGGGGGCGGAUGAUGGCCUCUCGUGCGCCUCGUCGCGCGGUUGGCCUAAAUGCCAAGUCCUCGGCGACGCACGCCACGACAAUCGGUGGUUGCGAAACCUCGGUUGCCUGUCGUGUGCGGUCGUCGCGCAUCGAGGGCUCGAAAAAAUUGCCGGGCUUCGGCUCGACUUUCAACGCGACCCCAGGUCAGGCGGGGUUACCCGCUGAAUUUAAGCAUAUCAAUAAGCGGAGGA